rnacentral:rRNA from 1 species
AACGAACGCUGGCGGCAUGCCUAACACAUACAAGUCGAACGAGAUCUUCGGGUCUAGUGGCGCACGGGUGCGCAACGCGUGGGAAUCUGCCCUUUGGUUCGGAAUAACAGUUGGAAACGACUGCUAAUACCGGAUGAUGACGAAAGUCCAAAGAUUUAUCGCCAGAGGAUGAGCCCGCGUAGGAUUAGCUAGUUGGUGUGGUAAAGGCGCACCAAGGCGACGAUCCUUAGCUGGUCUGAGAGGAUGAUCAGCCACACUGGGACUGAGACACGGCCCAGACUCCUACGGGAGGCAGCAGUGGGGAAUAUUGGACAAUGGGCGAAAGCCUGAUCCAGCAAUGCCGCGUGAGUGAUGAAGGCCUUAGGGUUGUAAAGCUCUUUUACCCGGGAUGAUAAUGACAGUACCGGGAGAAUAAGCUCCGGCUAACUCCGUGCCAGCCGCCGCGGUAA